AGCUGGUGCGUCUCCUAAGGUGCUGCUGGGGGAGUCCUAGCUUACAGGCCUCCGCCGCGCUCCUGGACAGGUUUUCCUGCGUGUCGAGCUUUUUCGAAGUGCUUUCCUGGAUUCGGAGGCGAUCCCCCGCAGGGUAACGACAGAGCUGUUUGUGCUGUCCCUGCUCCAGCUCCAGAUUCCUAUGGUGCUGAAGCAGCCAGGUGAGGAAGUGCCAUAGCUGCACUGGCACCCUCAGCAAACCCUGCUGUACACAUGGAAGCUGCUGGGUUGCUUCUCCCCAGGCUCAGGUCUUGCCAUAGAACUUCUUCCCACCUGGGUUCAAAUCUGAUCUCAGCCCACUUCUAUUGUCAUGCCCAUUUGCCCAGCAGGUUUGCCGCACCAAAUCUCUUGCUUCAGUGGCCCGUACCGAUAAUCCCAGCACUUUAGCAGGCUGAGAUAGGAGGAUCACAAGUUUGAGUUCAUCCUGGGCAAGUCAGUGAUUUAAUCAGGCUGUUUCAAAAUGAUGAUGAUGAUGAUGAUGAUGAUGAUGAUGAUGAUGAUGAUGAUGAUGAUGAUGAUAAUGAGAGGGCUGGGUGUGUCACUCAGUAUGAGAACCCUGGGUUCAAUCGCUAGUGCUUGAAAGAAAGAACCCAGGGUUUUUGUUGUGGUUUUUUUGCAGUACGGGGAAUUGAACAGUGUGGCUUCUUGGUCUUGGGAUAUGAUUCUCAGGGUGCAAAAGGCCUAGUUCGUGAUAGGUAAAUGGUUUACCACUGAGCUGCAUAUCCAGCCCAUUUACUUCAUUUUAUUUUUGAGGAAGGGUCUCAAUAAAGUAACCAGUCUGGCCUCAAAUUUUUAAUCCUUCUGCCUCAGCCUGUAAAGUACCUGGGAUUAUAAGUGUGUACCAUACUGACUAGGCUACAUAUUUCUCUUAA